GCAGCAGAGAAGGAAAAAGGGACUUACUUGCCCCUUCUUGACUCCCCUGCUGCUCCCCCAGGGACACCCCAGCAGCAGCCCCUCACUCCAUCAGGGGUAAUUGGUUCUAAUUUCCAGCUUCUUUUCACAUUCCCAGAACCAGCCUGGGCACAGGCCACUGGCACCAGGCCCUGCUGGACAGGCUGCAUCCUCAGAGGCCUGGGUCUCAGUUCCUUGGGGCCCCUCUUCAUGCUCCUGAGGUCGUACCAGCAGCUGGCUGCCAUCCUUCUUCUGAGGUCCGGGUCUCCCCUCUGAAGAGAUCCCCCUCCAAGUUUCUGGGUUCCAAUCAAGCCUGCGGAGUUUGGGAAGAGAGGAGCAUGGACAUUAGGGUGCCCACAAAGAAGACUGGCUCUCGCCCUCUAACUCGUGGAGCAUUCAUCUAUGCUACUGAACCUGCCCCGCAGCACAGUUCAAGACCAUUGAACGCAGCAUCUCAAUAGAAUGAGAGAAGGAAAGGAUGGGAACCAACAAAACCACCACAAAGAACAGUGUGAUGAAGCUUGGCCGCCUCACAUCUCAGCUGGCUCCCCGGGCCCACGUCCACGCGGGCUUCCCAUGAGCUGGAAGCAGCACUCCGUGAAUUAAUCAACUUUGUCUCCACUGAGCUGAAGACUUGUUCCACAUCAUUCAGGACCUACAUAAUCAACCAAACCGAAAAAUACAAUGAACUGUCCCCUCUGACAAUGGGGACAUGUCUUUGAGUAUUCUUAAAGAAUA
rnacentral:lncRNA from 12 species